GCGGGUAUCGUCUAAUGGUAAGGCACCGGCUUCCCAAGCCGACUAUGCGGGUUCGAUUCCCGUUACCCGCU
rfam:Eikenella corrodens ATCC 23834 Scfld4 genomic scaffold, whole genome shotgun sequence.